CUUCCUGGUAGAAGUGAAAGAAAUUUCAGAGCUGCUGUUCAACACAACACUUCAGAGGAAGACAAAGACAGAUGUACAAACACUGAGCGGUGGAGAUCAAACUGUUCAGAUCCAUCAUGGAUGAACCACAAACACCUGGAGAUGACUGUUCUUUUCCAGGACACAGCUCAGUUCAUCAGAAGAGAACAGAAGCAGAGCCCAGCUGUGUGUCUAUGAAGAGUGACUGGUCUAUGCUUGAGCCAAUAAUGUUUAACAGUGAAGAUACACGGCCUGAUCUCAGUCUAGUUCAUCAGAAGAGAUCAGAAGCAGAGCCCAGCUGUGUGUCUAUGAAGAGUGACGGGUCUAUGCUUGAACCAAUAAUGU